rnacentral:rRNA from 1 species
CGCGUAGGCGGCCGGCCAAGUCCGAGGUGAAAGCCCCCGGCUCAACCGGGGAAGGGCCUUGGAUACUGGUCGGCUGGGGGGAGGUAGGGGCGGGCGGAACUUCCGGUGGAGCGGUGAAAUGCGUUGAUAUCGGAAGGAACGCCGGUGGCGAAAGCGGCCCGCUGGACCUCUGCCGACGCUGAGGCGCGAAAGCCAGGGGAGCGAACG